rnacentral:rRNA from 1 species
GACGAACGCUGGCGGCGUGCCUAAUACAUGCAAGUAGAACGCUGAAGUGAGGAGCUUCCUCUUCUUGGAUGAGUUGCGAACGGGUGAGUAACGCGUAGGUAACCUGCCUUGUAGCGGGGGAUAACUAUUGGAAACGAUAGCUAAUACCGCAUAACAAUGGAUGACACAUGUCAUUUAUUUGGAAGUGGCAAUUGCUUCACUACAAGAUGGACCUGCGUUGUAUUAGCUAGUAGGUGAGGUAAUGGCUCACCUAGGAGACGAUACAUAGCCGACCUGAGAGGGUGAUCGGCCACACUGGGACUGAGACACGGCCCAGACUCCUACGGGAGGCAGCAGUAGGGAAUCUUCGGCAAUGGGGGCAACCCUGACCGAGCAACGCCGCGUGAGUGAAGAAGGUUUUCGGAUCGUAAAGCUCUGUUGUAAGUCAAGAACGGGUGUGAGAGUGGAAAGUUCACACUGUGACGGUAGCUUACCAGAAAGGGACGGCUAACUACGUG